AGAAUUUGAGAAAUUUUGUUGCCAAAGAUGAUGGUGGUUCCAUUUCUCUCUACACUAAAGCUCUUCUUGGCGGAAUCUCCGGCGUUAUUGCCCAGGUAUGAGAUUCAUCUUCACUGCAAAGAUUUAAAAUUUAUUAUUUUUGUUGAGUAGCUAAUGAAUUGACAUUAAUCACAAUAUAGAAGUGGAUACCUAAAGAAGCAGUACAUCUUAACUAUUUAGCUAAACAUAAAUUCUACAGUUCAUAACAAUUCAGAAGUCUGCUCUUUUAGUUAUUGGAAUUCACAAUAACUAAUAUAUAAUUUAUCUAAUUAUUAAUUGGAAUUUCAAUCUGUUUAACGAUUCACAUAACUAGUGAUUCCCAUUAUGCAUCAAUUACAUAGUACAUUUUCUGAAAAUAACUAUGCCAGUUUUUGUUCGCCAUUACUGUAGGCAGUGGCUAGCCCUGCUGAUCUCAUCAAAGUAAGAAUGCAAGCAGAUGGUCGCAUGGUGAGCCAGGGUCACAACCCCAGAUAUACAGGGCCUUUGGAUGCGUUCUGCAAAAUAGUGCGCGCAGAAGGGUUUGGUGGGCUCUGGAAAGGCGUCCUUCCGAACAUUCAAAGGGCAUUUUUAGUGAACAUGGGAGAAUUAGCCUGCUACGAUCAUGCCAAACAGUUUGUUCUUCAAAACCAAAUAGCUGCUGAUAAUAUAUAUGCACAUACCUUAGCUUCGACUAUGUCGGGGCUCUGCGCAACUGCUUCGAGUUGUCCUGCAGAUGUGGUUAAGACGAGAAUGAUGAAUCAAGUAGCAAGCAAGGAAGGUGAGAUUAAAUACAGGAACU
rnacentral:lncRNA from 1 species